ensembl:lncRNA
AUCUCAGCUCAUACACUUAGAUUGUGAGUCUCCACGGGACAAUGCUGUUGUAACAAAAAAGAGUUCAGAGCUCUCAAACUCUUGAGUUUACAGUGGGGGAAACCUUAAAUAGGAAUUACCUAGUAUUCUAGAUGAGUGUGGCACUAUUGAAAGGGAAACUCACUAGAAAGAUCCUUCCGGUUCAAUAGUUGCAAUGCACCUGAGUGACUGGAAGGGCUGGAGCCAGGAUCUACCCCUUUCCAGGACUCAUUUAAGGGAUGGCAGUGGAUGCAAAGGUAUCUUUCUGGAGAUCCCUGCAUAUGUGAGGCCUUCUGAAGCACAGCCUGUGAGCAUCCGUGGAGAGCAUGUCAGAUCCUCUGGAGUGGAGUGAUAAUGGCUUUCCAUCAAUAGUGGCAGUGACCAGAUUUAAAGAAGGUCUUGAGAGAAAUGUACCUGUAUAGGGUUGAACAUGGAUACCCAUUCCGGGAAUUGACAACUGCUUGAGUGAAUGGUGUUUUGCCUUUAUUCUUGGAAAGUUCAAGCCCACGUUUCCAAUCACAGUAUAGCUCCUAACCACUAGAUUGCAAGCUACAGAUCUCAAGACCAGCCAAAGACCGUUUAAUCUAGCAGCGAAGAUUUUAAUUGCUUCCAACCAAGAAGGGAGCUGCACUCCAGGCUUCUCCAUCUGUACAAAUGCUCAAAUCAGUUGGCUGCUCCACAAACACUGGACACAACCUCUGGCCUUUCCCAAAACAAACCCCGAACCUUGGUCAGUCCAUUGAGGGAUACUCAGAGGUCUCUCCUUCUGACCAUGGGCUUGAGAUGGAGUCACUACAGCUGCAGGCUGGAGCAUGCACAGAUUUGGACUUGUUGCUCCCUAUAGUUCCUUUACAACUUGGGAUACUCCAUGAUUCAACCUGGUCAGGGUGGGAAAGCCUUCACUGAGCUCACCACUUGCUACCACCAAGCUCCUGUCCUUGGGGAUUUCACUCACCAUCCCAAAGGUAUUUCACGCAAAAUAAGUAGCCCUCAAAUAAACUGCAUUUCUU